UAGGGAAUCUUCCACAAUGGACGCAAGUCUGAUGGAGCAACGGCCGCGUGAGUGAAGAAGGUUUUCGGACCGUAAAGCUCUGUUGUUGGUGAAGAAGGAUAGAGGUAGUAACUGGCCUUUAUUUGACGGUAAUCAACCAGAAAGUCACGGCUAACUACGUGCCAGCAGCCGCGGUAAUCGUAGGUGGCAAGCGUUGUCCGGAUUUAUUGGGCGUAAAGCGAGCGCAGGCGGAAGAAUAAGUCUGAUGUGAAAGCCCUCGGCUUAACCGAGGAAUUGCAUCGGAAACUGUUUUCUUGAGUGCAGAAGAGGAGAGUAGAACUCCAUGUGUAGCGGUGGAAUGCGUAGAUAUAUGGAAGAAUACCAGUGGCGAAGGCGGCUCUCUGGUCUGCAACUGACGCUGAGGCUCGAAAGCAUGGGUAGCGAACAGGAUUAGAUACCCUGGUAGUCCAUGCCGUAAACGAUGAGUGCUAAGUGUUGGGAGGCUUCCGCCUCUCAGUGCUGCAGCUAACGCAUUAAGCACUCCGCCUGGGGGAGUACGACCGCAAGGUUGAAAC
rnacentral:rRNA from 1 species